rnacentral:rRNA from 1 species
AGAGUUUGAUCCUGGCUCAGGAUGAACGUUGGCGGCGUGGAUAAGGCAUGCAUGUCGAGCGAAGCAGCAAUGCUUAGCGGCAAAUGGGUUAGUAACACGUGGGUUUACAUACCUUUGAGACAGGCAUAACCCGGAGAAAUCCGGGCUAAUUCCUGAUAGUUCCUUUCGAGGUAAAUGGUUUAGGGCAACCUAUUCCGCUCAAAGAAUGGCCCGCGGCUUAUCAGCUUGUUGGUGAGGUAAUGGCUCACCAAGGCUAUGACGGGUAGGGGAUGUGAGAGCAUGUUCCCCAACAAUGGGACUGAGACACGGCCCAUACUCCUACGGGAGGCUGCAGUCGAGAAUCUUCCACAAUGGGGGAAACCCUGAUGGAGCGACGCCGCGUGCGGGAAGACGAUCUUAGGAUUGUAAACCGCUUUUCUAGAGGAAGAAAUUAUUGACGGUACUCUAGGAAUAAGAGGGGACUAAUCACGUGCCAGCAGUAGCGGUAAUACGUGGCCCUCAAACGUUAUCCGGAUUUACUGGGCGUAAAGAGUCUUAAGGCUGUAAGGUAAGUCUUUGGUUAAAUCUUGGAGCUCAACUCCAAGACCGCCGAGGAUACUGUUUUACUUGAAGGCGCCAGAGGUUAGCGGAACGCACGGUGUAGGGGUGGAAUCCGUUGAUAUCGUGCGGAACACCAAAAGCGAAGGCAGCUAACUGGGGCGACCUUGACGCUGAUUGACGAAGGCUAAGGGAUGAAGAGGAUUAGAUACCCUCGUAAUCUUAGCUGUAAACGAUGGACACUAGCUGGUGGAAGUAUCGACCCUUUCACUGGCGAAGCUUACGCGUUAAGUGUCCCGCCUGGGAAGUACGGCGGCAACGUUAAAACUCAAAGGAAUAGACGGGGGUUUACACAAGCGGUGGACCACGUGGCUUAAUUCGAUGUUAAGCGGAGAACCUUACCAGGACUUGACAUGUUAGUGAAACCCUAGGGAAACCCUGGGCCCCGCAAGGCACUAACACAGGUGCUGCAUGGUUGUCGUCAGCAGGUGCCGUGAGGUGCUCCCUUUAAUGGGGAAACCUGCGCAACCCUUGUCCCAUGUUUUAUGUGUCAUGGGAGACUGCCGCGGAUAACGUGGAGGAGGGUGGGGACAACGCCAAAUCAGCAUGGCCCUUAUGUCCUGGGUAGCACACGUGGUACAAUGGCUAGUACAAUGGGUCGCCAACCGGUAACGGGGAGCUAAUCCCAUCAAAACUAGUCCCAGUUCGGAUUGAGGUCUGAAACUCGACCUCAUGAAGUCGGAAUCGCUAGUAAUCGCGGAUCAGAUACGCCGCGGUGAAUAUGUCACUGAACCUUGUACUCACUGCCCGUCAAGCCAGGAAAGCUGGGAACACCUGAAGCGCCCUUUUGGGCACCAAGGUGGAUUCAGUGAUCAGGGCUAAGUCGUAACAAGGCA